GCGUCUUGAAGGCUGUUCGUACGCAGUCUGAGUAAAUGAAAUAUAUGCGUGAAACGUCGAGGAAGCAGCGGUGUCGCUGUGAAUAUCAACUUGUUUAAAUACUGAUAAUAGUGCUUACGGGAAGUUUGCUGACAACCGUGGCCUCGAAGGCACGCGUCUUCCUCGUACGUGCUCUGCGGCCUCGCACUUGUCCAAUCGUAGCUGGCUUUAACUGUUGUUUCACUGCAAUUGUUUUGUGUAUUCUCCGGACCAAGAACUACCACUUUGCUACUCACGGAUCUCGUUUUCAGGCUUCCUGUG